GAUGAACGCUGGCGGUAUGCCUAACACAUGCAAGUCGAACGAACUCUUCGGAGUGAGUGGCGGACGGGUGAGUAACGCGUAAGGAACUGCCCUUAGGAGGGGGACAACCACUGGAAACGGUGGCUAAUACCCCAUAUGCCGAGAGGUGAAAGAUUUAUCGCCUGAGGAUGUUCUUGCGUCAGAUUAGCUAGUUGGUGGGGUAAAGGCCUACCAAGGCGACGAUCUGUAGCUGUUCUGAGAGGAAGAUCAGCCACACUGGGACUGAGACACGGCCCAGACUCCUACGGGAGGCAGCAGUGGGAAUUUUCCGCAAUGGGCGAAAGCCUGACGGAGCAAUACCGCGUGAACGAAGAAGGCUCUAGGGUCGUAAAGUUCUUUUAUCAGGGAAGAAGAAUUGACGGUACCUGAUGAAUCAGCAUCGGCUAACUCCGUGCCAGCCGCCGCGGUAAU
rnacentral:rRNA from 1 species